rnacentral:misc_RNA from 1 species
UUUUUUUCACUCGAACGAGUGCGUUGUGGUGGUUUCAAUCAAAACCUUUGAAACUUAAUCAAAUUGGCUGCCGAUUUGCAAGUGAGCUAAGUUCCGGUAUAUGUGUGUUGAAUCGCCUUAUUUUAAAAUCGCCUGUAUUUAGUAUCUUAAUAUACUAUGGAAAUCGCAAAAAAGGCGUAAGAUUACAGGCUAUUUUCAACGAAAAAGACGACCACCUUAAUAUAUCGAAACAAUCUAUAAUUACGUUUCCAUUAAUUUCAUCUGCUCCUGUUGCUUUGUUUCUUUUCACAGAAUUCAAAGCUACUUCAAAUUCCUCAAAAGAUAAUUCUGAAGAUAACUCAUCAGAGCAAAUGCAAUUAUCCUUAGGUACGAGAAAAUCAUUAAAAGAAGCCGUCGUAUUUGAAAUCCUAUUUGAUAAGGAAGGACCUAUCCCAAUAAAAAAUUUAUUAAAUUCAUGGGAUAUGGCUCUUGGGUCAUAUAAACUUAUGUUAUCAACUUUAAUCAUCUGCGGCAGAAAACCUAAGCACGAUUUUUGUUUUCCAGUAAUUUCUUUCAUAAUUUGCCAUGUGCGUUUUAAAUCGUUUUUAAAUUUAUUAAUUAGUUCUGAGUAGUAAUUUCUUUUUAAGUUUUUACGUAUUUUUUCAAAUAGAUAUUUGUAGUUUUUGUAUAUUUUUUUGCUAGCAGAUGAUUUUGUUUUUAAAUAUUUAAUAUACAACUUCUGUUUAAUUUUUGACGAUUUUUUUAAUCCCUUCGUAAUCCAGGGACUUUUUGAGCUUUUGUUAAUUUUUAUUAUUUUUUCAACAAUUGGAAAAUUAGCGUCGUAAACGGAAAACAAUGUUAAAACUUCUUUAUCGCCAUCGGAGACGCUUAAAUCUUUCUCAUAUUAUAAAAGAUACUUUCAUGAACAUAAAUUAGAAGCCCUCCACCUCGUUUACUCGUUUUUCUUUCUUGUGAGACAAUUUUAAAAUGAGGAAUAUUAAAAUUAUUGUCAAAAUCGUUUAAUGUAACCCAUGUCUCAGUUAAACAAAUGAUAUUAAAUAGAUUUUUUGUUUCUUCUAAUAAAUUUAAAAGUUUUUCAAAAUUCCGAUUUAAGCUUCUUAUAUUGAGGUGGAGAAUUCUAAUUUGAUUGGAACUUUUUUUAAUUGCAUUCUGAAAAAGAAAACCUUCAAGCUCUUUAGGAUAAAAAUAAGCACAAUCCGUAAAAGUAUCGUAAUAAAAAUUAUUAUCUGGGUCUAUGUUUUUAUCAGAGGAAAAGUGGUUUCCUUCAAAAAAAUUAAAAGAAAUGGAUUCAAAAUCGUUCAUAAAAGCCAUGAUUAUUAAAAUUAGGUUAAGGUUUCUUUUUUAGAAUGCGUAAUUCGAUUAUUUGUUUGGAACGUUUUUUAAAAUAUUAGUUUUAAAAGAAAUAAUUUUAUCGUAACGAACCGAAACAUUCUCACCGUUUAAACGUCGUUCUUUUACUUCCGCAAAUAGUUUUCUUCUGAUUGCAACUGUUUCGCGAGAAAAAUCCUCGUUUACAUAAAUGUUUGUUCCUCUGAGACGAGCUGAUUCUUUCAAAAUUUUAGCUUUGUCUUUGUAUUGUUGAAGUUUUAAAACUAUCACCCUCGAACGUCCAUCUUUUUUUGGCCCAGUGCGAUGUGCUCGUUUAAUUUCAAUACUCUUUAUACCCAGUUUUUGUAGAAAAAAUGAAUGAACUUUUUCUUCGGUUUUGUCCCAAGAUUCUACUUCGUCUUCACAUAUUCCCUCAAUUCUUAAGUUAUUUCUCCGCGAUCUAUCUUCGAGGUUACGGAUUUUUUCGUUUAAAAAUUCAUUAUUAGUUCUUUCUUUCUCUAAUUGUUUGUUGAUGUCGAUUUUGUUUAAAAAAUGUUUGUUGUUACUUUCAAUCUUUUUAUCAAUUACGUGUUCGUUGAAGUUUAAACUUUCUUUUAUAUCUUCAAGCUCUAUUUCAAUUUUUUUAAUCUUGUUUGCAUUUUGAGUGAUAUUUUUCUCAAAUUUAUCCAAUCGUUCGUUUAAUAUUUUUGUAUUUGCACUAAUAAUAUCAAUUACUGUUUUUUCUUGGUUUUUUAAUAAAACUAAAGUUUCCUUUUUAAAAUCAUUAAGCAUUUCUUUCAUCAUUUUUUUUUAUUUCUUUAAGUGAUACAGCCAUACCUGAUGUUGAUAGGAUCUUUUUAGUUAGUAGAUUCGUAGGUUUUUUAGUUGUUUCUUUAUUAUACUUCAAUUCCGUAGACUUUAUUUAUUUAUUUACUUUUUUCGAGUCGAUAACUUUUAUUUAAUUCAGUAGAAUUUUUAAUACUUUUCUGCGCACAAAAGCGUCUGUUCACUUCGAAAGCUUGCGUGAAAAAAAAAAAAAAAAAAAAAAAAAAAAAAAAAAGGGAAGUAAUUAAAGAAGUAACAGGGAAAAAAGAAUUACAAAAAAAACUAUUCCAAAUAGAUUAAAGCUUAACUUCGACAAACAAAUAUUUGAUCAGAAAGAAAUAGCUGAAAACUUCAACAAAUUUUUUUAUAAACAUACGAAAAAAUUAGCAGCAGAUAUAACUCCUGGAAAACAAACAUUUCAAUCCUAUUUAAAAAAAACUCACUAUGUAAUGAAUGAGUCGGAACUGUCUCUAAAUGAACUUUAGGCAACCUUUAAUGCGCUUAAAAUAAAUAAAAGUACCGGGUUUGACGAUAUUAUUAGCGACUUUACGAAAUCAAAACGCCAGCUGGAACCGCAUUCUCUGAAGACAAAAUGUUGAUAAUGCGCAUGCGUGAGCUCAGGGUAAAGCCCUAGUUGCGUUUUAAAGUUCUAUGCCGGACGUGAAAAUUAAAGUUUGUUGUGUUGCAAACGUGACAAGCAUUACUCUGUUUAAUUUUAUAAUGAUAUUACUCCCAUCUUACAAUCCAUAAUACAAAUCCCAUGCAUGGCUCUACGUUAGCCGUAUUAUCAUAAUGGGAUGACUGAAUAACCGUGAAUUUCAUACGCUCAAACUAGCACAUGUGCGAAUCAGUUACAAAAACUGGCACAAUGCCAAAUGGCAUAAGUGCAUAUGGGCAUAACUGCACAAAAAAAAUUCCAAACAUUGGCAUAAGUGAAAACUGCUAUAAGUGCAAACUGGCAUAUUUGUAAAUUGGCAUAAGUGCGCUAAAUAGAUUUACAAACAUUCGCAUAAGUGUGAAUUGCCAUAAGUGGAAAUUGGUAUAAGUGUGAAGCAGUUGCAAAAACUCGCAAAAGUGCAAACAACAUAAAUGCGAACUGGCAUAAGUGUGCUAAAUAAAUUUGCAAAGUUUAGCAUAAUUCCAAACUGGCAUAACUGCAAACUAGCAUAAGGGCAAAAUGCCAAUCAGCACUUAGACCAAUGUUUGCAAAUUUAUUACACGCACUUAUGUCAUUUCGCACUUCUGCCAGUUUUUAUAACUGUUUUGUACUUAAUUAAACUUUGCAUUUAUGCCUAUUCGUAAUGUUUGCUAACCUGUUUGGCGCACUAAUGCCAAUUUACACUUUUUCCAGUUUGCAAGUUUAAAGCUAUAGGUUAUCCUAUAGCUUUAAACUUUAGUCAAGAUAAUUCUUUUAACCCAGAUAAUAUUCAUAUAUAUGACUACGCUAAUGGUGUACACUUAUGAUCUGGACUACAUUAAUGUUUUAUGACAAAUUCACUCAUGGCCAAAUCUAAUAUGGCAGCUGGAAAAGGCAAAGGACUUUUUAGUCUAACCAAGCUAUAUAACUUAAUAAAAGUUUGUGCAUCGACUUCUCACGAAUCAUACACAGAGUCGAUUGUCAAUGCAGUAAUUACUGGUUCGUGAAAGCGGGCAACUUUUGCUUGUCUUAAAGUGCCUUAAAUCCAACAGAUAUCAUCGUUAUAAUAUUACUUUGUUUGUAAAUUGUUUUAAAAAAUAAAUUUAAAAAUAACUUU